rnacentral:rRNA from 1 species
AUGAGGAGCAGCAGCAGCAGCACCGGGUCGGCGCCCAGGAGGAGGCCGAUGAGCGACCUCAUCGGCGCCAGCGACGACCUCGGAUCCCGCUUCUCCGUCGCCACCACCACGGCCUCGUCCGAGCGGUCCGCGGGUGGCCGUGGGACAGCCGCCUUCCGCUCCUGCUUCGCCCCCGCGGACGUGCGCUCGCCGGAGACCUCCCUCUCCGACGUCGACCUCGACGCCUCCCACCAACGUACGUCGUUCGCGCACGCUUUCCCUGAACCUUUUCUCCAGUGGUCCCUGUGUGUGCUCUCCUGA